UACGUAGGGGGCAAGCGUUGUCCGGAAUUAUUGGGCGUAAAGCGCGCGCAGGCGGUCUUUUAAGUGCUGUGUUUAAUUCCAGGGCUCAACCCUGGCUCGCAUGGCAAACUGGGAGACUGGAGUGCAGGAGAGGAAAGUGGAAUUCCACGUGUAGCGGUGAAAUGCGUAGAGAUGUGGAGGAACACCAGUGGCGAAGGCGACUUUCUGGCCUGUAACUGACGCUGAGGCGCGAAAGCGUGGGGAGCAAACAGG
rnacentral:misc_RNA from 1 species